rnacentral:rRNA from 1 species
UACGGAGGAUCCAAGCGUUAUCCGGAAUCAUUGGGUUUAAAGGGUCCGUAGGCGGUUUUGUAAGUCAGUGGUGAAAGCCCAUCGCUCAACGGUGGAACGGCCAUUGAUACUGCAAGACUUGAAUUAUUAGGAAGUAACUAGAAUAUGUAGUGUAGCGGUGAAAUGCUUAGAGAUUACAUGGAAUACCAAUUGCGAAGGCAGGUUACUACUAAUUGAUUGACGCUGAUGGACGAAAGCGUGGGGAGCGAACAGG